UGAGGAGCAAACAUUCAAACCGUGUUUUCUCCAAAAAAAAUAAAAACUGAGUUAUUGAUGGUUUCUUGUAGUCCAUGUUAAAUAGCACCAGAUUCAAGCCUUAGUUUCAGUCAAAUCAUGCUUUAUCCUAUUUAAAAACAGCGUGCAAAACUAACUGUUCAAUCAAAGAGUGUUUUCUCCAAGGUCGGUGUUCAGUCAAACAGUGCUUUCUCCAGCUGACCAAUGGGAGCGGUCCUCUCUGAUCACAUGACUAGUUGGCAUAAGCUGUUUUAACACGUGGUUCAGUACUGAAAGUAAGGUUAUGUAAGUAUUGGAAACACUGGAGCUCGUAAAAGACAGGCAACUGGCAAAAGAAGAAAA
rnacentral:lncRNA from 1 species